GCCGUCGUGGCACAACCUGGUACUGCGCAAGCCUGGAAAGCUUGUUCUCGCAAGGGAAUCCCAGUUCAAAUCUGGGCGACGGCG
rnacentral:tRNA from 1 species